UUUUUUGAUAAUAGGUGGUUGUAAUUGAAUUUAUUUGAAAUUGUUUGAAGUCCAAAUUUGAAAUUUAUGAUAAGUUUAAUUUUAGGGACUAAAUUGAAUAAAAUAUAAAAGUUUAGGGAAAUUGUAUAAAAUGAAAUUAAAAUAUUUUAAGCAUGAAUUUGAAUAUUAUUAUGAUAGUGAUAUUGAUAUUUUGAAUAUUAACUAUCAUAUAGAUCAAGUUGUUGACUUAGGUAAGAAAUGAAAAACUAUCAAAUAGUCUCUAUUAGCUAAACUGCUAUGAUUUUGUCAGGUAAGUUCAUAUAAUAUAAAUAGGUUUAAAUUGUUGUUGAAUUAUAUCUAAAAGUAUAUUAAUUUUUUAUUAAUUGUUUGAAUUUUAUAUGAAUUGUUACAUAAAUUGAUGAUUUAAUUGAAUUGAAAUGGAUUGAUACAAAUGGAAAUGUUACGGUUAAAUCCCAAUGAAUUUAGUAAAAGUCUUGUACAUGAGGAUACAAGUUUAUUUCUAAUGGUACCAAGCUCCAGUAUUUGUUGCGGACUCGAAGAUGCAUAUGACACAGGUUUAGCUUGAACUGGUAAUUUGUUGUCGUUUUAAAGAUUUAGCCUGGACUAGUAACCUUACAUGUAUAUACAGCUCUAGUCAGGCUAUUUACUGUGUCAUUAAAGGUUUUGCCCGGACGAGUAACUAACAUUGUUGUAAAUGAUUAGCUCGAACGAGCAUCAUACGUUAUUUGCACCUGUGUAUUGAGUUCUUUUACAAAGUUUCAUUGGAUAAAAAUUAUAAAUAAAAAGGUAAUGAUAUAUCAAAUGUUGGCAAAGUAAUGUAUAUGAUUUGGAUAUAGGAUAUAAGAUGGUUUGAAAUGAAAAUGUAAACAAUUUGGGUUGUAUAUGUGAUUGAGCUCAAAACCUUAUAUGUAUAAUGAUGUUGUUUGAAUCUUGAUAAGGGUAUAUGAUGCCAAUUGAAGGGUGAAUGUGAGCAAGAUGAUCGAUUAGAAUACGAAUUUAUAUUAUAUUUUAAGUUGAAUAUGGUGUUUCACCAUUUGAGUUUACAUAUUUGAAUUUGGUUUAAACCUCACUUGAUUGAUGUUGUUUUUGGAUGCCAUGAUAAGUGAAAUUAUUUCAUAUUAAUUAAUGUAUUUGUUAAAUGGUUGAGGUAAACUAUUUGUUUAUAUCGUAUGAGCUUACUAAGUAUUUUAUAUACUUACUCGUGUUAUUACUUUUAUGUAGAUUUUGGACAUCCGGAACGUGUUGACUGGAUCAGCAAGAAGCUUACACCCAUCAACUUUUGAUUUGGUAGAUUUUUUAUGUUUGAAGUUGGUUACUUGUGGCAUGUGCGUAGGUUGAAUGAACUUAAGCUAGUUAAAGUCUGUUUUAGUAUAAUAAAGUCUAGUUUAUUAUAAUAACAUUGUAUAUGUAAAUCUAUGGUUGUGGCUUAAUAUUGGUUAUUUGGUAUUUGCUAAGUUUAGUAUGCUUGAAUGUUAAAGAAAUGACAAAGCUUAAUUGAUAAUAUGCAUGUGAAUUGAAUUGUGGUAUGAAUUGUGGUUUGAAUGGUGUAAAGCUUAAUUGAUAAUAUGGUGUAAUUGAUAUUGGUUUUUUUUUCUCAAGAUAUUUACUGGAGCGAGCCUAGUAAUUAAUUCUCCUCAUUCUGUAGACUCAUUAAGGGGUAGAUGUCGGCCAUGAGUUUUACAGUUACUUCAUACCUAGGGUAAGGAUCAAACCCUUGACCACUAGUUAAGGUAGAAAAGACCAUUGCCAUCUCACUUAACUCUCGUGGUUUGUUUCAUAAAGAUCCUUGCCAUCUCAUCUAACUCUCAUGAUAAUUUUAAUUCUUGAUUUUACAAUGGCAAUAAAAAAAAACCCCCCAUUUCAUAAAGAUCAUGCUCAUCACCCCUUACCCCCCCCCCCAAAAAAAAUAGGAAAUUCACUUCUUCGAUUCCAUGGUCAUAAAGUCUAUUAUUCUUGAAAGCAUUGAAAAGAUAAAAUUUUGGCUUUUGUAAAAAACUUAGGACAUGGUUGGAAGAGCAGUGGUGAUAGAGAUGGAGUGGAGAUGAAAAAUUAGGGAUUAUGAAAAAAAAUGGAAGAAAAGGACAAAUUUAUUGAAUGGUGAAAGAGAUGGAGGAGAGAGCAAAAAAUAGGAAUGGUGAUGAAUAUGGGGAGAGAAGGGUGUUUUGAAUAACAAGAGAAAAAUUGAAUGGAGAUGGAAGAUAGAGGAAAAGACGUGAAUGGUGGUAAAGGUGGAGUAAAGUGCUAAAGAUUUUUGAAAAAAAAUUAUGAAUAUAUUAAACAAAUAUUAUUUAAUAAUUAAACUAGUUAUUAUAAAAUAUAUAUAUCAUUAGUAUAUGUGUCACUAUGAGAUUUCCUAAAUUUGCCGUAAAUAAGAAAAAGUUAACGGGGUUGGUUGUAAAGACUAAUGCAUAUGUAACUAUUAUGUUCGAUUAAGUUCCAAUUCGAAAAAAAAUUGUCAAGUUUAAGGGUCAAUCAGUAUAUUAAGUUUUUAAUAAUUUAUUAUGUUUAUUGGAAUUGACUUAAGCACCACUAAGCAUAAAAGUAAGCUUAGUGCAUUGAUUGUUUUUCCACGCUAGGUUAGAGAUCGGACAUAAGGAGAUAGUUAUAAAAGUUCUGCAUCGAGCCGAGUCGCAUCACAUAAAAGUGUAAUCAUGUUCGAGUCCUUUAUAUUGUAUAAGUUAAUGUCAGUGAAGCAUAUAUGUAGAAUAUUAUUGUGUUACUAAAUUUUAAUAUAUUUAUAUAAGUGACAUUGGUAAUUCAUUUGACACUAUCGUCCAUUGGUUAUUGAAUUGAAUUGCAAAAAUUUAAAAAUUUGGCUUUUACUGACAGUGAUCACCAAAACAUAUUUCUUAAAGUUUGUACAUGUGUUAAAGAAAAGUUGUAAGUACCUUCAGGCAUUAGGUGUAGCGUCGUUUAUCUGGAACCGUUGACGGUCUAGGUAAGGAGUGUUACAGACGGACUAUGUGUGUGUGACUCGUGUACUUUGAGGUAUUACAAGUCUUACCUCAAUUGAUAAUGGAACCAAAAUUUGGUAUAUGUUGGAAAAUUUGGUUUGAAAACAAUGUUUAGAAGCACAACGAAUUUUUUUUUUAAAUCAAGUUGUUGUGAUAUUUAUAGCAAUAAAUCUAUUAACCAAAUUAUACAUGUGUUUUUAAAUCAGGUAGACUUAGUUGUUUCACGCUUUCUACUAUUUAAUCUUCCCCACUAAUCUUAACCCUGGUUCGAAAUAGUGUUAACUGAGCAUGUAAAAUAAAUUUCAAAUAUUUUUAAGCAAUUAAUUUGAAUUGUUUGUAAAAUUUAAUUUAAAUGUCUAAAUUAUAUUUUAAAUAUUAAAAACAAUUAUUACAUUUCAAAUAUAUGAUGUUAUAUAUAUUUUUUAAUUUUAUUUCUAUAAAAUUAGAAAAUCAUGUGAGCCAAAAAUGCAAUAGACUUUUUGUAACCCUAAAUUAUUCGACGGAACCAGAAAAACAUGACGGACCCUUAACCCAAAAUGGAUGACGAUCGGAUGAUGAAUGGCAAAUCGUUGUGGGUGAUGGCAUGGGACGCCGCAUGGUGCAUAGCCAGCAGAUGUGAGGUACACGAACUACCGGGUCAUCACACCAUGGUUGAACGACCAGGCACGCAGGAGAGCCAAGGCGUCGUGCCCUAGUUCAGUGUGUGAACAUGCAAGGUAGACCGGGCCUUGCGCCCAGGUAUAAUGCUCCAGCCGCAAGGAAGAACCGGCAGAAGGCUGAGGCAUUGCACCCCAAUCAGACUAGUUAGGCGCACGGCACCGAGGGAUGUGUGUGUGCACCAACAACCAGCCGUGAUAUUGUUGGAUACUUGCCUAAUAGUAGUAUUUGGCUUGUGUGUUGAGUUGCUAAUGUUUUGUGAUGGUAUAAGGAAAUUGGUAGAUUUUUUAUUGUUUUGCUCUCUUUGUGAGCUUGGUUUUUGUAUAAUUGAACUUUCGGUGCUUUUAUUGAGAGUCCUUGUUGUAGUGUUUGGUUGCUUUCAAGAGUAUAGUAUUUACAUGUGAAGUUGCAUCUUCUUUCUGGUUAAAGAGCGUGUUCAUUAGAUUGAAUUAUUAUGUAGUUUGCCACAGUGUUUUUAACAACUUCACCCUUUUGUAUUUUAAUAAAAUUUGAUUAUGGCCAAUAUAUAUACUUUAAGAACCAUCGCCUACUGCAAGCCUGGUUUCACAUUCUAUGAUUUCCUUCCAUUUUACAUUAACGAAAAUGUUACAGACGAAAAAGCUGCUGAGUAAUGCCUCAUACUUCAACAAUAUUAAGACGUGUCUUGAGGGGUUGAUGAACAUAAAAAGUUAUUCAUUAGUAAGAUUAGAUGUUAUUGAUGAUAGAUGAAAAGAGAGUUUUAAAAAUCAAGAUUUCAAUUACAGUACAGUAUUUAUUUAACAAUUACUUGGUUUCCCACAAUGGCCUCAUCCCCUGCAAGGUAGUAUUUCACAAAUUUAUACCCACAAAAGCAUUCAUGCAUGUUUAUGUUCAUCAAGCUAUGAACAUCUCUAAGCACACUUGCAAUUAUGACUAAAUGAUGGCAACGGCUUCUUAACUUGGAAGAAACAAGUGGAUAAAAAGGAUGAUGGUGGUGGUGGUGAUGGUGAUGAACUUGACGGCACUUCCAUGCUAAUUUCUCCUUCAUUUUCUUCUUCAUGAAUGGUUUCCAAUGUUAUAUGGGUAUUGUGGAGCCUAGGGACCGCAAUAAAACGAGCUGGCACGACGGCGGAGAAGGGAGUGAGCGCUGGAGUCUCAGCCUUGGGAGGGCAGAGUAUUUUCUGGGAAGUGGAGACUGAGAAGAUACCAGCCAUGCUUAACUUCUUUUUGUAGUGGAGAAUUUGCCUAUGAAUUUCGUUGUAUGAUGAGGGAAUGAAUGUCAACAAAUGUGGCAUUCUAUACUCCAUUUAUAUAGAAG
rnacentral:lncRNA from 1 species